GGAUGCGAUCAUACCAGCAUUGAAGCAGCGGAUCCCAUUAAAACUCCGAAGUUAAUCGUGCUUGGGGGAGAGUAGUACUAGGAUGGGGGAGAGUAGUACUAGGACGGGUGACCUCCUGGGAAGUCCUCGUGUUGCAUUCC
rnacentral:rRNA from 1 species